UGAGCAGACUUGCCUAACUCUGCCGCUGCCCGGGAUCCGUUCGCAAAAUUCGUCCGGCAGAGACGGGGAACCCAAUAUUGGCCUGCUUCCGGCAGGCCUUGGGGUGAAGCCGUGCCCGGUGCAUUCGUGCACCACCACGGCCGGGUGUCUCCCAUCCGAAUCCGACAGCUAACCUCGCAGGCAGUGGGAGAGGCCCU
rnacentral:sRNA from 2 species